rnacentral:rRNA from 1 species
AGAGUUUGAUCCUGGCUCAGAUUGAACGCUGGCGACAGGCCUAACACAUGCAAGUCGAGCGGAAACGAUCCUAGCUUGCUAGGAGGCGUCGAGCGGCGGACGGGUGAGUAAUGCAUAGGAAUCUACCCGGUAGUGGGGGAUAACCUGGGGAAACCCAGGCUAAUACCGCAUACGUCCUACGGGAGAAAGCAGGGGAUCUUCGGACCUUGCGCUAUCGGAUGAGCCUAUGUCGGAUUAGCUGGUUGGUGAGGUAACGGCUCACCAAGGCGACGAUCCGUAGCUGGUCUGAGAGGAUGAUCAGCCACAUCGGGACUGAGACACGGCCCGAACUCCUACGGGAGGCAGCAGUGGGGAAUAUUGGACAAUGGGCGAAAGCCUGAUCCAGCCAUGCCGCGUGUGUGAAGAAGGCUUUCGGGUUGUAAAGCACUUUCAGUGGGGAAGAAAUCCUCGGGGCCAAUACCCUCGAGGGAGGACAUCACCCACAGAAGAAGCACCGGCUAACUCCGUGCCAGCAGCCGCGGUAAUACGGAGGGUGCGAGCGUUAAUCGGAAUUACUGGGCGUAAAGCGCGCGUAGGCGGCGUGAUAAGCCGGUUGUGAAAGCCCUGGGCUCAACCUGGGAACGGCAUCCGGAACUGUCAGGCUAGAGUGCAGGAGAGGAAGGUAGAAUUCCCGGUGUAGCGGUGAAAUGCGUAGAGAUCGGGAGGAAUACCAGUGGCGAAGGCGGCCUUCUGGACUGACACUGACGCUGAGGUGCGAAAGCGUGGGUAGCAAACAGGAUUAGAUACCCUGGUAGUCCACGCCGUAAACGAUGUCGACUAGCCGUUGGGGUCCUUGUGACCUUUGUGGCGCAGUUAACGCGAUAAGUCGACCGCCUGGGGAGUACGGCCGCAAGGUUAAAACUCAAAUGAAUUGACGGGGGCCCGCACAAGCGGUGGAGCAUGUGGUUUAAUUCGAUGCAACGCGAAGAACCUUACCUACUCUUGACAUCGUGCGAACUUGGUAGAGAUACCUUGGUGCCUUCGGGAACGCACAGACAGGUGCUGCAUGGCCGUCGUCAGCUCGUGUUGUGAAAUGUUGGGUUAAGUCCCGUAACGAGCGCAACCCUUGUCCCUAUUUGCCAGCGAUUCGGUCGGGAACUCUAGGGAGACUGCCGGUGACAAACCGGAGGAAGGUGGGGACGACGUCAGGUCAUCAUGGCCCUUACGAGUAGGGCUACACACGUGCUACAAUGGCCGGUACAAAGGGUUGCGAAGCCGCGAGGUGGAGCUAAUCCCGAAAAGCCGGUCUCAGUCCGGAUCGGAGUCUGCAACUCGACUCCGUGAAGUCGGAAUCGCUAGUAAUCGUGAAUCAGAAUGUCACGGUGAAUACGUUCCCGGGCCUUGUACACACCGCCCGUCACACCAUGGGAGUGGACUGCACCAGAAGUGGUUAGCCUAACUUCGGAGGGCGAUCACCACGGUGUGGUUCAUGACUGGGGUGAAGUCGUAACAAGGUAGCCGUAGGGGAACCUGCGGCUGGAUCACCUCCUU